GACGAACGCUGGCGGCGUGCUUAACACAUGCAAGUCGAACGGAAAGGCCCUGCUUUUUUGCUGUUCUCGGGUGGCGAACGGGUGAGUAACACGUGAGUAACCUGCCCUUGACUUUGGGAUAACUUCAGGAAACUGGGGCUAAUACCGGAUAGGAGCUCCUGCUGCAGGGUGGGGGUUGGAAAGUUUCGGCGGUUGGGGAUGGACUCGCGGCUUAUCAGCUUGUUGGUGGGGUAGUUGCUUACCAAGGCUUUGACGGGUAGCCGGCCUGAGAGGGUGACCGGGCACAUUGGUACUGCGAUAGGGCCCAGACUCCUACGGGAGGCAGCAGUGGGGAAUAUUGCACAAUGGGCGGAAGCCUGAUGCAGCAACGCCGCGUGCGGGAUGACGGCCUUCGGGUUGUAAACCGCUGUAGCCUGAGACGAAGCGUGAGUGACGGUAAUGGGUAAAGAAGCACCGGCUAACUACGUG
rnacentral:rRNA from 1 species